UAGAGUUUGAUCCUGGCUCAGGAUGAACGCUAGCUACAGGCUUAACACAUGCAAGUCGAGGGGCAGCAUUUUAGUUUGCUUGCAAACUAAAGAUGGCGACCGGCGCACGGGUGAGUAACACGUAUCCAACCUGCCGAUAACUCGGGGAUAGCCUUUCGAAAGAAAGAUUAAUAUCCGAUAGUAUAUUAAAACCGCAUGGUUUUACUAUUAAAGAAUUUCGGUUAUCGAUGGGGAUGCGUUCCAUUAGUUUGUUGGCGGGGUAACGGCCCACCAAGACUACGAUGGAUAGGGGUUCUGAGAGGAAGGUCCCCCACAUUGGAACUGAGACACGGUCCAAACUCCUACGGGAGGCAGCAGUGAGGAAUAUUGGUCAAUGGACGAGAGUCUGAACCAGCCAAGUAGCGUGAAGGAUGACUGCCCUAUGGGUUGUAAACUUCUUUUAUAUGGGAAUAAAGUAUUCCACGUGUGGAAUUUUGUAUGUACCAUAUGAAUAAGGAUCGGCUAACUCCGUGCCAGCAGCCGCGGUAAUACGGAGGAUCCGAGCGUUAUCCGGAUUUAUUGGGUUUAAAGGGAGCGUAGGUGGAUUGUUAAGUCAGUUGUGAAAGUUUGCGGCUCAACCGUAAAAUUGCAGUUGAAACUGGCAGUCUUGAGUACAGUAGAGGUGGGCGGAAUUCGUGGUGUAGCGGUGAAAUGCUUAGAUAUCACGAAGAACUCCGAUUGCGAAGGCAGCUCACUAGACUGCAACUGACACUGAUGCUCGAAAGUGUGGGUAUCAAACAGGAUUAGAUACCCUGGUAGUCCACACAGUAAACGAUGAAUACUCGCUGUUUGCGAUAUACAGUAAGCGGCCAAGCGAAAGCAUUAAGUAUUCCACCUGGGGAGUACGCCGGCAACGGUGAAACUCAAAGGAAUUGACGGGGGCCCGCACAAGCGGAGGAACAUGUGGUUUAAUUCGAUGAUACGCGAGGAACCUUACCCGGGCUUAAAUUGCAUUUGAAUAAUCUGGAAACAGGUUAGCCGCAAGGCAAAUGUGAAGGUGCUGCAUGGUUGUCGUCAGCUCGUGCCGUGAGGUGUCGGCUUAAGUGCCAUAACGAGCGCAACCCUUAUCUUUAGUUACUAACAGGUCAUGCUGAGGACUCUAGAGAGACUGCCGUCGUAAGAUGUGAGGAAGGUGGGGAUGACGUCAAAUCAGCACGGCCCUUACGUCCGGGGCUACACACGUGUUACAAUGGGGGGUACAGAAGGCAGCUACCUGGUGACAGGAUGCUAAUCCCAAAAACCUCUCUCAGUUCGGAUCGAAGUCUGCAACCCGACUUCGUGAAGCUGGAUUCGCUAGUAAUCGCGCAUCAGCCAUGGCGCGGUGAAUACGUUCCCGGGCCUUGUACACACCGCCCGUCAAGCCAUGAAAGCCGGGGGUACCUGAAGUACGUAACCGCAAGGAGCGUCCUAGGGUAAAACUGGUAAUUGGGGCUAAGUCGUAACAAGG
rnacentral:rRNA from 1 species